UACGUAGGUGACAAGCGUUGUCCGGAUUUACUGGGCGUAAAGAGCGCGCAGGCGGUCGAUCAAGUCGAGUGUGAAAGCCCCCGGCUCAACUGGGGAGGGUCAUUCGAUACUGAUCGACUCGAAGGCAGGAGAGGGUAGUGGGAUUCCCGGUGUAGUGGUGAAAUGCGUAGAUAUCGGGAGGAACACCAGUGGCGAAGGCGACUUCCUGGCCUGUUCUUGACGCUGAGGCGCGAAAGCUAGGGGAGCAAACGGGG
rnacentral:rRNA from 1 species